rnacentral:rRNA from 1 species
UUACUUCGGUAAUGACGUUGGGAAAGCGAGCGGCGGAUGGGUGAGUAACACGUGGGGAACCUGCCCCUAAGUCUGGGAUACCAUUUGGAAACAGGUGCUAAUACCGGAUAAUAAAGCAAAUCGCAUGAUCAGCUUUUGAAAGGCGGCGUAAGCUGUCGCUAAGGGAUGGCCCCGCGGUGCAUUAGCUAGUUGGUAAGGUAACGGCUUACCAAGGCGACGAUGCAUAGCCGAGUUGAGAGACUGAUCGGCCACAUUGGGACUGAGACACGGCCCAAACUCCUACGGGAGGCAGCAGUAGGGAAUCUUCCACAAUGGACGCAAGUCUGAUGGAGCAACGCCGCGUGAGUGAAGAAGGUUUUCGGAUCGUAAAGCUCUGUUGUUGGUGAAGAAGGAUAGAGGUAGUAACUGGCCUUUAUUUGACGGUAAUCAACCAGAAAGUCACGGCUAACUACGUGCCAGCAGCCGCGGUAAUACGUAGGUGGCAAGCGUUGUCCGGAUUUAUUGGGCGUAAAGCGAGCGCAGGCGGAAAAAUAAGUCUAAUGUGAAAGCCCUCGGCUUAACCGAGGAACUGCAUCGGAAACUGUUUUUCUUGAGUGCAGAAGAGGAGAGUGGACUCCAUGUGUAGCGGUGGAAUGCGUAGAUAUAUGGAAGAACACCAGUGGCGAAGGCGGCUCUCUGGUCUGCAACUGACGCUGAGGCUCGA